rnacentral:rRNA from 1 species
UACAGAGGGGGCAAGCGUUAUUCGGAAUUAUUGGGCGUAAAGGGCGCGUAGGCGGCUUGGCAAGUGGAGGGUGAAAUCCCUCGGCUUAACCGAGGAACUGCCCUCCAAACUGCUUGGCUUGAGACCGGGAGAGGUGAGUGGAAUUCCCAGUGUAGCGGUGAAAUGCGUAGAUAUUGGGAGGAACACCAGUGGCGAAGGCGGCUCACUGGACCGGUACUGACGCUGAUGCGCGAAAGCGUGGGGAGCAAACGGG